GUGCCAGCAGCCGCGGUAAUACGGAGGGUGCGAGCGUUAAUCGGAAUUACUGGGCGUAAAGCGCGCGUAGGCGGCUAGGUCAGUCGAAUGUGAAAGCCCCGGGCUUAACCUGGGAAUUGCACUCGAUACUGCCUGACUAGAGUAUGGGAGAGGGAAGUGGAAUUUCCGGUGUAGCGGUGAAAUGCGUAGAUAUCGGAAGGAACACCAGUGGCGAAGGCGACUUCCUGGCCCAAUACUGACGCUGAGGUGCGAAAGCGUGGGUAGCGAACAGGAUUAGAUACCCUGGUAGUCCACGCCGUAAACGAUGAGAACUAGAUGUCGGGAGGAUUUACCUCUCGGUGUCGCAGCUAACGCGUUAAGUUCUCCGCCUGGGGAGUACGCCGGCAACGGUAAAACUCAAAGGAAUUGACGGGGACCCGCACAAGCGGUGGAGCAUGUGGUUUAAUUCGAUGCAACGCGAAGAACCUUACCUGCCCUUGACAUCCUCGGAACUUACCAGAGAUGGUUUGGUGCCUUCGGGAACCGAGUGACAGGUGCUGCAUGGCUGUCGUCAGCUCGUGUCGUGAGAUGUUGGGUUAAGUCCCGCAACGAGCGCAACCCUUGUCCCUAGUUGCCAGCAUUCAGUUGGGCACUCUAGGGAGACCGCCGGUGACAAACCGGAGGAAGGUGGGGACGACGUCAAGUCAUCAUGGCCCUUAUGGGCAGGGCUACACACGUGCUACAAUGGCCAGUACAGAGGGUUGCCAACCCGCGAGGGGGAGCUAAUCCCAGAAAGCUGGUCGUAGUCCGGAUCGGAGUCUGCAACUCGACUCCGUGAAGUCGGAAUCGCUAGUAAUCGCGAAUCAGCAUUGUCGCGGUGAAUACGUUCCCGGGUCUUGUACACACCGCCCGUCACACCAUGGAAGUAGGUUGCACCAGAAGUAGGUAGCCUAACCUUCGGGAGGGCGCUUACCACGGUGUGGCUUAUGACUGGGGUGAAGUCGUAACAAGGUAACCG
rnacentral:rRNA from 1 species